rnacentral:rRNA from 1 species
UACAGAGGUCUCAAGCGUUGUUCGGAUUCAUUGGGCGUAAAGGGUGCGUAGGCGGCGCGGUAAGUCGGGUGUGAAAUCUCGGAGCUUAACUCCGAAACUGCAUUCGAUACUGCCGUGCUUGAGGACUGGAGAGGAGACUGGAAUUUACGGUGUAGCGGUGAAAUGCGUAGAUAUCAGGAGGAACACCAAUGGCGAAGGCAGCUCGCUGGAACGGUACUGACGCUGAGGCGCGAAAGCGUGGGGAGCAAACGGG